rnacentral:tRNA from 1 species
GAGGGUGUAGCUCAGUGGGAGAGAGUGUGUUUAGCAUGCAUAAGGUCCUGGGUUCAAUCCCCAGUACUUCUG